CAGCAUUAACAGAACAAAGCCAGUUAAGAUUUUGUUUCAAAAUGUUAAUAGAGAAGUUACAAUGGAGUCAAGAGCAGAAUACUGCAAUAAGUAACCCAACUAUGACAUAAAAGAACAAUAAAAUUAUAGCAAUAACAACUAUAAGAGACCUUCUUUAUGCCUUCAUUCUAAUCGUUUGGCCUAACCAGUAAGAACCUUAGAUACCCAAAUUUCAAAAUCCUUGCCCAAAUAAUAUAUGAAACAUAACAGAGUACGUAUGCCACUAUCCCCAUUUACAAUCUCAUGAGUCAAGAUAAAACAGUGGUGCCAAAACACUGCCCAAACAUGAUGAUCGGAUAAAUAUUCAGUAGAGGAAAAGGUUCAACUAGUUUACUUUAAGGCAACCCCAGCAGUUCUCAAAUGAUUUUCUCAUUGGCACUAUUUUGGAGUAUAA
rnacentral:misc_RNA from 1 species